rnacentral:rRNA from 1 species
CGACUCUCGGCAACGGAUAUCUCGGCUCACGCAUCGAUGAAGAACGUAGCAAAAUGCGAUACUUGGUGUGAAUUGCAGAAUCCCGUGAACCAUCGAGUUUUUGAACGCAAGUUGCGCCCGAAGCCUCAGGUUGAGGGCACGUCUGCCUGGGCGUCACG